rnacentral:rRNA from 1 species
UCCCAGACUCCUACGGGAGGCAGCAGUGAGGAAUAUUGGUCAAUGGGCGCGAGCCUGAACCAGCCAAGUCGCGUGAGGGAAGACGGUCCUAUGGAUUGUAAACCUCUUUUGUCGGGGAGCAAAAGACGCCACGCGUGGCGUUCCGAGAGUACCCGAAGAAAAAGCAUCGGCUAACUCCGUGCCAGCAGCCGCGGUAAUACGGAGGAUGCGAGCGUUAUCCGGAUUUAUUGGGUUUAAAGGGUGCGUAGGCGGACGCUUAAGUCAGCGGUAAAAUCGCGGGGCUCAACCUCGCUCCGCCGUUGAAACUGGCGUUCUUGAGUGGGCGAGAAGUAUGCGGAAUGCGUGGUGUAGCGGUGAAAUGCUUAGAUAUCACGAAGAACUCCGAUUGCGAAGGCAGCAUACGGCAGCGCUACUGACGCUGAAGCUCGAAGGCGCGGGUAUCGAACAGGAUUAGAUACCCCGGUA